UCUUAUUAUAAAUUUCGUGAUCUUAUUUAUUUAUGCUGUUAUUAAUUUCAUUUAAUCGUAGUUGAUAAAUUUGAGCUUGUGCGUUGUGUGACUGAGAAUAUAGUUGUUACAAAAUGUUGUUGUUGUUAAAUAUACAGUUGGUUUCACUAUUAUAUAAAGUAAAUAAUUUAGCUAAACUCUUUUUGUUAAUUUUUCAGCGCAAUUUUUUAUUGAAUGUUGUUUCUUAUAUUAAGAUAUAAAUGAGUAUCUCCCAAUGAAAUGACAUAUUAAGAAGGUUGAUGAUUCAGAUAUAAAAAAUUAAUAAGAAGCUUGACACAAGUCAAUUGAUGCACGAUUUUCUUCAAGUAUAGACAGAAAGAAGGGAAAAAGAAAGAGGAUCAGGUUAGGUUAUCUUGUAUUAACAUAAAAUGUUUAGUUUUUUUUAUUUUUCAUAGACCAUACAGGUUUGGCAAUAAUCCAGAUGUUAAGACUAUGACUUGACCAUGAUUGACUCUUCAAAAGAAUAAAUUUGUUAAUAACAUUGCUAUUUUUCAUUACUAGAAUAAAGAUGUUUUUUGAAAUAAUUGAAGAUAUAUUGACAACUUCUGCAACACAUAUGGCUUGUUGCAGUACUUCUGGUAAUUUAGGUCAAAUCACAUAAAAUAUUCUUGUUAUGAAGCCUGAGUACUUGCAUUGUUGAAGAAAUUAAACAAACUUAAAAAAAAAAAGUUUACAUUCUGCAAUGUUAAUUUUGCUGCAAAAACAGCUGAAUGGAGCUUCUGGAAUUACUUUACAACAACUACCUGCUGGUCUUAUUUGACAUUCCAUUCAUUCACUGUGGCAAACAUGGAUUUAAUAAGUCACUGCGAAACAGAAUUUUGCAACAAAGAUUUGCUUGCAAGAAAGCCUU